rnacentral:rRNA from 1 species
AAGGAUUAGUAAAGUGGCGUCCGGGUGAGUAACACGUGGAUAAUCUGCCCUUUGGUGAGGAAUACCCUCGAGAAAUCGAGGUUAAUACUGCAUAAUCCGGAAACGGGAAAGGUGGCCUCUUUGCUACCGCCGAAGGAUGAGUCUGCGGCCUAUUAGUUAGUUGGUGGGGUAAAGGCCUACCAAGACGAAGAUGGGUAGCCGGCCUGAGAGGGUGUACGGCCACAAUGGAACUGACACACGGUCCAUACUCC